rnacentral:rRNA from 1 species
CGUGUAGGCGGAAAGGUCAGUGUCUUGUGAAAUCCCUCGGCUCAACCGAGGAAUUGCAGGGCAUACUUCCUUUCUUGAGGCAAGUAGGGGUGCAUGGAACUCUGGGUGGAGCGGUGAAAUGCGUAGAUAUCCAGAGGAACGCCAGUGGUGAAAACGGUGCACUGGGCUUGUCCUGACGCUGAGAUGCGAAAGCGUGGGGAGCGAACAGGAUUAGAUACCCUGGUAGUCC